GUGCGCCCGUUUCAGCAGCACAUAUACUAAAACUGGAACAAUAUAGAGAAGAUUUGUAUGGCCCCUGUGCAAAGCUUAGUUAAAUACAGUGUAAAACUUAAGGCUUAA